rnacentral:rRNA from 1 species
CAACUUGAGAGUUUGAUCCUGGCUCAGAACGAACGCUGGCGGCAGGCCUAACACAUGCAAGUCGAGCGAGACCUUCGGGGCUAGCGGCGGACGGGUUAGUAACGCGUGGGAACGUACCCUUCUCUAAGGAAUAGCCACUGGAAACGGUGAGUAAUACCGCAUACGCCCUUUUGGGGAAAGAUUUAUCGGAGGAGGAUCGGCCCGCGUUGGAUUAGGUAGUUGGUGGGGUAAUGGCCUACCAAGCCUACGAUCCAUAGCUGGUUUUAGAGGAUGAUCAGCCACA